rnacentral:rRNA from 1 species
UUAAGCGACUAAGCGUACACGGUGGAUGCCCUGGCAGUCAGAGGCGAUGAAGGACGUGCUAAUCUGCGAUAAGCGUCGGUAAGGUGAUAUGAACCGUUAUAACCGGCGAUUUCCGAAUGGGGAAACCCAGUGUGUUUCGACACACUAUCAUUAACUGAAUCCAUAGGUUAAUGAGGCGAACCGGGGGAACUGAAACAUCUAAGUACCCCGAGGAAAAGAAAUCAACCGAGAUUCCCCCAGUAGCGGCGAGCGAACGGGGAGCAGCCCAGAGCCUGAAUCAGUAUGUGUGUUAGUGGAAGCGUCUGGAAAGGCGCGCGAUACAGGGUGACAGCCCCGUACACAAAAAUGCACAUGCUGUGAGCUCGAUGAGUAGGGCGGGACACGUGGUAUCCUGUCUGAAUAUGGGGGGACCAUCCUCCAAGGCUAAAUACUCCUGACUGACCGAUAGUGAACCAGUACCGUGAGGGAAAGGCGAAAAGAACCCCGGCGAGGGGAGUGAAAAAGAACCUGAAACCGUGUACGUACAAGCAGUGGGAGCACGCUUAGGCGUGUGACUGCGUACCUUUUGUAUAAUGGGUCAGCGACUUAUAUUCUGUAGCAAGGUUAACCGAAUAGGGGAGCCGAAGGGAAACCGAGUCUUAACUGGGCGUUAAGUUGCAGGGUAUAGACCCGAAACCCGGUGAUCUAGCCAUGGGCAGGUUGAAGGUUGGGUAACACUAACUGGAGGACCGAACCGACUAAUGUUGAAAAAUUAGCGGAUGACUUGUGGCUGGGGGUGAAAGGCCAAUCAAACCGGGAGAUAGCUGGUUCUCCCCGAAAGCUAUUUAGGUAGCGCCUCGUGAAUUCAUCUCCGGGGGUAGAGCACUGUUUCGGCAAGGGGGUCAUCCCGACUUACCAACCCGAUGCAAACUGCGAAUACCGGAGAAUGUUAUCACGGGAGACACACGGCGGGUGCUAACGUCCGUCGUGAAGAGGGAAACAACCCAGACCGCCAGCUAAGGUCCCAAAGUCAUGGUUAAGUGGGAAACGAUGUGGGAAGGCCCAGACAGCCAGGAUGUUGGCUUAGAAGCAGCCAUCAUUUAAAGAAAGCGUAAUAGCUCACUGGUCGAGUCGGCCUGCGCGGAAGAUGUAACGGGGCUAAACCAUGCACCGAAGCUGCGGCAGCGACGCUUAUGCGUUGUUGGGUAGGGGAGCGUUCUGUAAGCCUGUGAAGGUGUGCUGUGAGGCAUGCUGGAGGUAUCAGAAGUGCGAAUGCUGACAUAAGUAACGAUAAAGCGGGUGAAAAGCCCGCUCGCCGGAAGACCAAGGGUUCCUGUCCAACGUUAAUCGGGGCAGGGUGAGUCGACCCCUAAGGCGAGGCCGAAAGGCGUAGUCGAUGGGAAACAGGUUAAUAUUCCUGUACUUGGUGUUACUGCGAAGGGGGGACGGAGAAGGCUAUGUUGGCCGGGCGACGGUUGUCCCGGUUUAAGCGUGUAGGCUGGUUUUCCAGGCAAAUCCGGAAAAUCAAGGCUGAGGCGUGAUGACGAGGCACUACGGUGCUGAAGCAACAAAUGCCCUGCUUCCAGGAAAAGCCUCUAAGCAUCAGGUAACAUCAAAUCGUACCCCAAACCGACACAGGUGGUCAGGUAGAGAAUACCAAGGCGCUUGAGAGAACUCGGGUGAAGGAACUAGGCAAAAUGGUGCCGUAACUUCGGGAGAAGGCACGCUGAUAUGUAGGUGAAGUCCCUCGCGGAUGGAGCUGAAAUCAGUCGAAGAUACCAGCUGGCUGCAACUGUUUAUUAAAAACACAGCACUGUGCAAACACGAAAGUGGACGUAUACGGUGUGACGCCUGCCCGGUGCCGGAAGGUUAAUUGAUGGGGUCAGCGCAAGCGAAGCUCUUGAUCGAAGCCCCGGUAAACGGCGGCCGUAACUAUAACGGUCCUAAGGUAGCGAAAUUCCUUGUCGGGUAAGUUCCGACCUGCACGAAUGGCGUAAUGAUGGCCAGGCUGUCUCCACCCGAGACUCAGUGAAAUUGAACUCGCUGUGAAGAUGCAGUGUACCCGCGGCAAGACGGAAAGACCCCGUGAACCUUUACUAUAGCUUGACACUGAACAUUGAGCCUUGAUGUGUAGGAUAGGUGGGAGGCUUUGAAGUGUGGACGCCAGUCUGCAUGGAGCCGACCUUGAAAUACCACCCUUUAAUGUUUGAUGUUCUAACGUUGACCCGUAAUCCGGGUUGCGGACAGUGUCUGGUGGGUAGUUUGACUGGGGCGGUCUCCUCCUAAAGAGUAACGGAGGAGCACGAAGGUUGGCUAAUCCUGGUCGGACAUCAGGAGGUUAGUGCAAUGGCAUAAGCCAGCUUGACUGCGAGCGUGACGGCGCGAGCAGGUGCGAAAGCAGGUCAUAGUGAUCCGGUGGUUCUGAAUGGAAGGGCCAUCGCUCAACGGAUAAAAGGUACUCCGGGGAUAACAGGCUGAUACCGCCCAAGAGUUCAUAUCGACGGCGGUGUUUGGCACCUCGAUGUCGGCUCAUCACAUCCUGGGGCUGAAGUAGGUCCCAAGGGUAUGGCUGUUCGCCAUUUAAAGUGGUACGCGAGCUGGGUUUAGAACGUCGUGAGACAGUUCGGUCCCUAUCUGCCGUGGGCGCUGGAGAACUGAGGGGGGCUGCUCCUAGUACGAGAGGACCGGAGUGGACGCAUCACUGGUGUUCGGGUUGUCAUGCCAAUGGCACUGCCCGGUAGCUAAAUGCGGAAGAGAUAAGUGCUGAAAGCAUCUAAGCACGAAACUUGCCCCGAGAUGAGUUCUCCCUGACUCCUUGAGAGUCCUGAAGGAACGUUGAAGACGACGACGUUGAUAGGCCGGAUGUGUAAGCGCAGCGAUGCGUUGAGCUAACCGGUACUAAUGAACCGUGAGGCUUAACCUU